GACGAACGCUGGCAGCGUGCCUAAUACAUGCAAGUCGAACGCUUCUUUCCUCCCGAGUGCUUGCACUCAAUUGGAAAGAGGAGUGGCGGACGGGUGAGUAACACGUGGGUAACCUACCCAUCAGAGGGGGAUAACACUUGGAAACAGGUGCUAAUACCGCAUAACAGUUUAUGCCGCAUGGCAUAAGAGUGAAAGGCGCUUUCGGGUGUCGCUGAUGGAUGGACCCGCGGUGCAUUAGCUAGUUGGUGAGGUAACGGCUCACCAAGGCCACGAUGCAUAGCCGACCUGAGAGGGUGAGCGGCCACACUGGGACUGAGACACGGCCCAGACUCCUACGGGAGGCAGCAGUAGGGAAUCUGCGGCAAUGGACGGAAGUCUGACCGAGCAACGCCGCGUGUGUGAAGAAGGUUUUCGGAUCGUAAAACUCUGUUGUUAGAGAAGAACAAGGACGUUAGUAACUGAACGUCCCCUGACGGUAUCUAACCAGAAAGCCACGGCUAACUACGUGCCAGCCGCCGCCGUAA
rnacentral:rRNA from 1 species